rnacentral:rRNA from 1 species
CCUACGGGGGGCUGCAGUGAGGAAUAUUGGUCAAUGGACGCGAGUCUGAACCAGCCAAGUCGCGUGAGGGAUGACUGCUCUAUGGGUUGUAAACUUCUUUUAUAUGGGAAUAAAACAGGGUAUGCAUCCUCUCUUGUAUGUACCAUAUGAAUAAGGAUCGGCUAACUCCGUGCCAGCAGCCGCGGUAAUACGGAGGAUCCGAGCGUUAUCCGGUUUUAUUGGGUUUAAAGGGUGCGUAGGUGGAUUUUUAAGUCAGUUGUGAAAGUUUGCGGCGCAACCGUAAAAUUGCAGGUGAAACUGGCAGUCUUGAGUACAGUAGAGGUGGGCGGAAUUCGUGGUGUAGCGGUGAAAUGCUUAGAUAUCACGAAGAACCCCGAUUGCGAAGGCAGCCCACUGGAC